UUGAACGCUGGCGGCAGGCCUAACACCUGCAAGUCGAGCGGAUGAAGGGAGCUUGCUCCUGGAUUCAGCGGCGGACGGGUGAGUAAUGCCUAGGAAUCUGCCUGGUAGUGGGGGAUAACGUCCGGAAACGGGCGCUAAUACCGCAUACGUCCUGAGGGAGAAAGUGGGGGAUCUUCGGACCUCACGCUAUCAGAUGAGCCUAGGUCGGAUUAGCUAGUUGGUGGGGUAAAGGCCUACCAAGGCGACGAUCCGUAACUGGUCUGAGAGGAUGAUCAGUCACACUGGAACUGAGACACGAUCCAGACUCCUACGGGAGGCAGCAGUGGGGAAUAUUGGACAAUGGGCGAAAGCCUGAUCCAGCCAUGCCGCGUGUGUGAAGAAGGUCUUCGGAUUGUAAAGCACUUUAAGUUGGGAGGAAGGGCAGUAAGUUAAUACCUUGCUGUUUUGACGUUACCAACAGAAUAAGCACCGGCUAACUUCGUG
rnacentral:rRNA from 1 species